rnacentral:tRNA from 1 species
GUCCCCGCAGUGCAGUGGAGAGCGCGCUGGACUUCUAAUCCAGAGGUCGCGGGUUCGAAUUCCACCGGGGAUG